CCACCUUCUCUUGGUCGUAUUCACCAAAGCAGCAGAAGAAGAAAAAACAUAAAGUCAGCAGUCAUUCUAGCAUGGUUGACACACGUGGUGAAAGAGCAAGAGUAGGACACUUACCAGCAGCUGGAAGAACACGUCAAUGUCGAAGAGGAACCCUUGGAUGUUUUAGAAAUAUUUUUGUUUCAUUCAUUUAAUUUUUACAAUGUAAUUCACGUUAAUUCAUAGUCGAUACACUUGGUUCUUUUAUAGCCAAACUAUAUAGCACACUACCUAUGCAUGCUGAGCUUUCUAGCAGCUUGCAAUAUUGUAAGUGGUAUAGAUUUUAUUUGUAUUUAAGUGGUUUCAAAAAAAUAAAUGAUUAAAACACUACCACUGGAAGUCUCAUAAUUGCACAAUAGUUCUGCUUAACAGUUGUAAAUAACUAUUAAAAGGUAAAUGCAAUAAAGCUUCUAAUUGUUGAGAUCACCAUUAACACAUUUAAUUACAAUUUAUUUUGCUGUAGAUUCUAAGUACAAAAGCAAACGAUAAAAGCACACUAAGUUUAAUAUAAGAGGAGGACAAAG